rnacentral:rRNA from 1 species
GAUGAACGCUGACAGAAUGCUUAACACAUGCAAGUCGAUGGGGAAGUGGUGCUUGCCCCAUGGCAACCAUGGCGGACGGGUGAGUAACGCGUAAGGGACUUACCUGCAGGACUGGGAUAACAGGGGGAAACUCCUGACAAGACCGGAUAAUGUCAUGGAGCUGCAUGGCUUUAUGAUGAAAGGAGACGCCUGCGGAGAGCCUUGCGUCCUAUUAGCUAGUUGGUGAGGUAAUGGCUCACCAAGGCGAAGAUAGGUAGCCGGCCUGAGAGGGUGGACGGCCACAAGGGGACUGAGAUACGGCCCUUACUCCUACGGGAGGCAGCAGUGGGGAAUAUUGGACAAUGGGGGCAACCCUGAUCCAGCAAUUCUGUGUGCACGAAGAAGGUUUUCGGAUUGUAAAGUGCUUUCAGCAGGGGAGAAGUAAGUGACGGUACCUGCAGAAGAAGCGACGGCUAAAUACGUG